GCCGGCUCCACACCCCACCCGCCCCGCCCGCGCUCGGCCCCCACAGUCGCUUGGGGGUGGCCCGGAGGGUUGAGGUGCUCGCAGUGGAGCCCUGGCCCCCGGGCCGACGGAGCUGCACGGUAGUAGAUGGGGGUGUGGCCGUGGCCCCGACUCUGCUCGGCGGGGCCGUUCCUGCCUUGCUGUCCGUGUGGGACUUGCACGACACCCCGUAUGCUGCUUGCCCUGCUUGGGAAAGAGGCGGCUGCUGGAAAGGACCGAUCGGCGGGCACGCCAGCCCGGCCCACCCCUCGCCUCCAUGUGGGUCAGGCUUCUCAUCGCAGCAUGCUUUGGCCCAGUGUCCGUGGUCCUGACCCUGCUCCGGAAGUGUCUGCAGAGCAUCUGUGCCCCCCGCCCCUCCCCGGGCCCAGCUGUGUGCAGCUCCUGUCCUACCCAGCACAAGCACUCGACCCGGGUAGCUCCCAGUGUCGGGGUCCUGUUCAUCAAAUGCCUUCCAAUUGCACAGGUCACUCUACAACUCCCCAAUCAUUCCCCCAUCUCCUCUGGCCCCUUGGGCCUGCUCUCCACUCCCCUGGCUUCUGCCCCUCGGCACAGAGCAUCCCUGAAGUCCAUGGAUGGAGUCAGGUGAGCUGGGCAGUUGAUGGUGGAGGUGGGAUUUGAACCCAGGACCCUCUGCCCCCUCACAGCCCUCAAUAUAUUGGGCUUUGGACCACAUGCCUUCCUUCCCAUAGAGCUUUCUACAGGCAGGCAUCCCUCCAGGCCAUGCAGAAACGUCCUGGGCCCCAUUCCCCAGCCUCCUUUGCACAUCGAGGCCCCGCUUUCCAUGGGGAUCAAAGGGCUUGAGUACCAGCCUGACCCUGGUGCAGUCACUGAGGUCACUGUCUUGCUGGCCUUCUCUGGGUGCUGGGCCUGCUGGGCCUGUCUCUGCCCCUCUUCCCUCUUGCCUGUCUGAUGCAGAGUGACCCAUCCCCUUCAGAGCACUUGCUGCUGUGGGGCACCAAGACCCUUCUUCAAGAUGAAACAGAGUCUCAGAGAAAUGAUGAAAUAAUACGUGAUUGUCCCAGUAGAUGAACUCAUUCUAGGUACUCAGUCAAUCCCCAAGACACAGAAUCCUGAGGUCCAGGCUGCAGGGAGUUUGGCCAGAGGACACCAGGGCUGGCUGUCAUCACAUGUCACAAGUACAUCAGGGUGUGAGUGACUGCCACUCCUGGACAGAGACUGCCUCCCUUCCUUGUCUGUCUGCUCCUGCUCAAGCCCCUUCUCCCUGGCCUCCCUCUCUAUCCUUCCCUUCCUGAAACCCCUCCUGCCAUCUCUCUGUCCCCCCCUUGUCAGCUGACUUCUGAGCUGUGUAUACAGUCUGGGCUUGGGUCAAGGCCAAGGGCAGCAACAGCCCAGAAAGAGUAAAGUGCCCGGUGCCUGGGGAGAAGGGCUGGCUGAGGGGCGAGUGCACAGGGCUCCACCCCCUGGCCACGGUUGGGGAGAGACACUGGCUGCCAUUGAGCUACCCUUCUGGACCCCAGUUCUGACCUCUGCCCCUCCUUCCAGAUCUGCUCUUGGCUUCAGGCAGUCAGCUGGAGCCCCCUGCCAGGAGGAGGGGUUUGUCUGAGUUCCUGUAGUUCCCGCUUCUGUGCAGCCUGCUGGGCAGGGGGCUGGGAGGGAGGAAAAGGAAGCAGGGCCUAGGGAAGCCCCAGGUUCUGCAAAGAGCUCAUGUCAGGGAGAAAAGUAAGGUCUGCCCAGAAACCUCGGGGCUUUCAGAGUUCAGGGAUUUUGUAGGCCGUGGGCCUGUUUGUCAGAAUGGGACAGGGGUGGUUUCCUUUCCUGCUCCGUGUGUGUGUGUGUGUGGGGUGUGUGUGUGGGUGUAUGUGUGUGUGUGGGGUGUGUGUGUGGUGUAUGUGUGUGUGGGGGGGGUGUGUGUGUGUGUUUGGGGGGGUGGGUGUGUGUGUGUGGGGUGUGUGUGUGUGUUUGGGGGGGUGGGUGUGUGUGGGGGGUGUGUGUGUGUGGGGGGGUGGGUGUGUGGGGUAUGUGUGUGGGGAGGGUGGGUGUGUGGG
rnacentral:lncRNA from 10 species